UCCGGCUUAUCACCGGCAGUCCCACUAGAGUGCCCAACUGAAUGAUGGCAACUAAUGGCAAGGGUUGCGCUCGUUGCGGGACUUAACCCAACACCUCACGGCACGAGCUGACGACAGCCAUGCGGCACCUGUACAAGCUUACCUUGCGGUACUCCGACUUUCAUCGGGAUUAGCUUGCAUUUCAAGCCUAGGUAAGGUUCUUCGCGUUGCGUCGAAUUAAACCACAUGCUCCACUGCUUGUGCGGGCCCCCGUCAAUUCCUUUGAGUUUCAACCUUGCGAUUGUACUUCCCAGGUGGAAUACUUAAUGCGUUAGCUUGGAUACUGAUCUUAAAAAAGACCAACAUCUAGUAUUCAUCGUUUAGGGUGUGGACUAC
rnacentral:misc_RNA from 1 species